rnacentral:rRNA from 1 species
UACGGGGGGAGCAAGCGUUGUUCGGAUUUACUGGGCGUAAAGGGCGCGUAGGCGGUCAGCACAAGUCAGUUGUGAAAUCUCCGGGCUUAACUCGGAAAGGUCAACUGAUACUGUGCGACUAGAGUGCGGAAGGGGCAACUGGAAUUCUUGGUGUAGCGGUGAAAUGCGUAGAUAUCAAAGAGGAACACCUGCGGCGAAGGCGGGUUGCUGGGCCGACACUGACGCUGGAGGCGCGAAAGGCCAGGGGAGCGAACGGG